rnacentral:rRNA from 1 species
UACGUAGGGUGCAAGCGUUGUUCGGAAUAACUGGGCGUAAAGGGCGCGUAGGCUGGUUUGUAAGUCGAUUGUGAAAUCCCCGAGCUCAACUCGGGAACUGCAGUCGAUACUGCAAAUCUUGAAUGUUCGAGAGGAUGGCGGAAUUCCUGGUGUAGUGGUGAAAUACGUAGAUAUCAGGAAGAACACCUGAGGCGAAGGCGGCUAUCUGGUGAAACAUUGACGCUGAGGCGCGAAAGCGUGGGGAUCAAACAGG